AACGUAGGACGCAAGCGUUAUCCGGAGUUACUGGGCGUAAAGCGCGGGCAGGCGGUUCUGCCAGUCUGAUGUGAAAUCUCCCCGCUCAACGGGGAGCAGCCAUUGGAAACUACAGAACUGGAGUCUGACAGAGGUAGGCGGAAUUCCGGGUGGAGUGGUGAAAUGCGUAGAGAUCCGGAGGAACACCAGAGGCGAAGGCGGCCUACUGGGUCAGUACUGACGCUGAGGAGCGAAAGCGUGGGGAGCGAACAGG
rnacentral:rRNA from 1 species